GCGCCCAGUAACUGGCAGCAGUGCCUGCUGUGUGAGAUCGCUUUCCUCUUCGCCUUUCCUAUUAAGAAGAGGAACUCCUGUGCUAGAACUGCCAGAUGACCUCCUGAGGGUGGAAGGCAACGUCUGUUCACCAUGAACAGGAACUGGCCAUUGUCAAUCUAGUGUUGGCAAACAACACCAUCCGCCUACAUCAACUACGAGAGCCAAUCAUCGCAGAUCACAUAACAUUCCAUAAUAUCAACCGUGUCAGUAUGUUGACACUCUGCUGCAUCUUGCGUCAACACCAACUUACGAUGAAGCAGCUGUACAGGGUUCUGUUUGAGAGGAACAGUGUUAGAGUCAAAGAACUUCGAUAUGACUAUGUGCAAAGAGUCCUGGACUUUGAUGCAGCUGCACAGCCUCAUGAGUUAAUUUUCAUUGAUGAAGCUGGAUUCAAUCUGGCUAAAACCAGGCGUCAGGGCCGACAUGUUAUAGGACAAAGAGCCGUUGUGAAUG